rnacentral:SRP_RNA from 1 species
GCUGGGUGUGGUGGCUCACGCCUGUAAUCCCAGCACUUUGGGAGGCCGAGGCGGGUGGAUCACCUGAGGUCAGGAGUUUGAGACCAGCCUGGCCAACAUGGUGAACCCCCGUCUCUA